rnacentral:rRNA from 1 species
UACGUAGGGGGCAAGCGUUGUCCGGAUUUAUUGGGCGUAAAGAGCGUGUAGGCGGCUUUGCAAGUCCGUUGUGAAAACUUGAGGCUCAACCUCGAGACGCCGGUGGAAACUGCAAAGCUAGAGUCCGGAAGAGGAGAGUGGAAUUCCUGGUGUAGCGGUGAAAUGCGCAGAUAUCAGGAAGAACACCCGUGGCGAAGGCGGCUCUCUGGGACGGUACUGACGCUGAGACGCGAAAGCGUGGGGAGCGAACAGG